UUGACGACUUUCAAGAGCUUGAUUUCAGUAGCUUUUGAGGAUAAUGGUUUUGGUAAACAAUCAUCAGCGGGUUCAGUCUUUUUGUCAUCGUUCACUGUCAAUCAACGCUGAAGUUGGUGCAGGUUACAAAGCGGUUGCAUCGUGCAUCUUGAUUGUGAACAUUUCCCUGUAAGAAUGUGUCUCUUCUAGCUCAAUGAGCAGCUCAAAAUGUUGCAGUUUACACAGAAAAAAAAACAAAAAACAAAGCCACAUCCAGGGAAAGAAGUCUGUGAUUUAGCAUUCCACCUUUUACCCCCUCUGCAGUUCAUCAGCCAUUCAGGUGCAGUGAAUUGACAUCUAAAGAAGGCAGGACACUUUCUUCCAGGCCUCCGUUGCUGUGCUUUUAGGCAGACAGUCAGGGCGUUUUGGACUGGAGCCCAGCUGUACUGAGGGACCUGCUGAAUAUGAUACCUGUGUGGAGGAGCUCCAGCGUCUUAGCCCGCAGGUUCCCAGGAGAGAGAAGUUUCCCUCCAUCAGUCUUUGCAGUGAACAAUGUGGUCACACUACACCUGGCAGGUAUUUAAUCUCUUCUAGUCACUUUAUCUGGGAAUCCCCCUAUUUUUCAAAUAUGAUGUGC